ensembl:lncRNA
GGCUAUUUAUGGAAGAAAAAAAAAAAAAGUACCUUCUAAGAACUGAUUGUUUGUCAUUUAGUUCCCUUCAGCAUGUAUGCACAAAUGUUAUCUAGAGCUGGAUGCUGCUUAAAAAUUCUGAUUUGCUGAAGACCUCAUCAGAUGCAAGAUUCCUGUAUGAGCCUUCACACUUCCUUCCUGCUCUAUGCAUUAGCAAAAAUAUAUGCGGCUGACAAUAUUCAACUUUGAACCCCAGUAGUGUAAAAUUUCUGUUCAGCCUUCGUCUCUUCAAGAUAAACUGAAUACUAAUCACUAAAAUGCAUUGGCUCUGGCUUCCAGAUAGCAAUAGUUUCCACGCAAGGAUUUACAGCAUUGAAAUAUAGUUGGUUGAUUCUACCCUGAAGAUUUGCCUUUGGAGUCAUUGUCAGGAGGACUGGCUUCUCAGAAAACCUGGUAGUGUCUAAUUGGAAAGGAAUGGAAUGUCAUUAUCUUUGUUUAAUACAUUAUACUUUCUUUUCAUGAACAAUAUCCCCUAGAUUUUUAGUGUGUUACUUAAAAUUAUGCUUAUGAUCUCUGUCAUAUUAUGGCUCCAGUUAAUCACAUAUCUGCCAUUCUCUGCAAUAAGCAACCUUCAGAAUGGUUUAAUAGUUGGAGCUUACAGUAACUGACACUGUAGAUUGCAUGAACUCUGUGGGGCAUAAUCACUUCCUGUGUAUAUAUGAACUCAAUAUGUAAAAGUCUUUUUUUUUUUUUUUUUUUUUUUCCUAAGGACAACUGGAGAUUUUAUGCUUAUUUAUUUAUCUACAAAAGAACAGUCACCUAAUCCACUCAUAAUGCCAUGUUUAUGCUGGAAUGGCAUGAAAAAAAUAAUUAAAUCCCCAGAAGAACCCUCCUAAGAAUCUCCAUUCUGCUCAUAGAUGAGAGCAGCCCUAGAGAUAAAGAGAAUGGAGUGAAGAGCAUCAAAAAUGAGGAAAAUGGGUGUGGUGUUCUGCACCAACAAUAUAACACGAUUCGUUGUGCCCUGGCCUCAGGAGGAAAAAGAAGGUAUCAGAGAAGCUGUCACUCCGAAAGUGAGGGAAAUGGACUUCUGUCGAAUACUGAGAGUUCUUUUAAUAGUGGGGGCUUGAGUGCUUGUGUUGUGUGUGUGAGGAGCAAAGUACUUAAAUUCCAAGAUGUAUGGUGCAGCUUUCUGUCUUGAACAAUUCCGUUUAAAUGGAUGUAGCAGGAGAUCUAGAAAUCCAUGGUUUCCCUACCCCCUGACUGUCUGGUUACUGAAAUGGUUUUGUCUUGUAUUGAAUGACUGAAAAAGUGAUCUGUGCCAACCAUUACAACCAGUAUUGGUGACAUUUGGAAAAGUUUUAUUUGGGUUAAACAAAUUUCUGGAAUAGAAAAAGAAAUAGUAAAUAUGGCUAAGAGUUUGUGGGGUUGCCACAAACUGCAUAUGCUUAUGUAGAAAGAAAGUCUCUAAACAGAAUCUUUGGUUGGCAGACACUACUUUUACAUAGCCUUUCUCACCUAAUACACAGUAAUUGCACUAUUCUGUGUAGGCCUGCUGAUGUCAGUCAGAAGUCAUGAAAUUAUUCCCCUCAUCUUUUUUCUUCAGAAGUAUUUGCAUUUCAUUUUCUAAUCACAGUUGCUAGCUUGAGCUUUGAACAGGAAAAAAAAAAAAAAGACACGUUUUGAUGCUAGAAACAGUUUUGAUCUCAAAUUCAAACAAAACCUCUUGAGAAACUGCAUGAUAGCACAUCCAUGGGCUAAUCAGCAUCAGGUUGACCAGACUGGCUUUGACCUACUUCCUUGAUGAGUUCCUUGAUUAAAAGUUACUAAUGUAAAGAAUAAUGCACAGAAUAAUGCACCUGAAUAUCUGUAAUAUUUCAAAUUUGAAAAUAGCUAUAGUGGGUUAACGUAGAUGUAGGCUUCUGUGGGAGGUACUCGAGAGUUCGUGCACAGUGGUUGGAAUGUAAAAUAGAAAUUACUUGUCUUUUUAGGGAAUUAUGACUUUGGCUGUGAUUUAAUGUGUACUAGAGUUUUUGUGUCACUUAUGGGUCCCCUUUUAACAGGAUGACUUUUUUUCCCUUCAAUAAUAGAAAAUAAUCCUUCAUUUUAUAAUUUCUGAGAAAAGUGGAAUUAUUGGUUAAUCAAUUGAUAUCAAUGAAUUUGUGAAACUAUUCAGGAUUGAUCUAUGUUCUGACUGAAGA